GGUCAUAUUGGAGGGGUAAGAAGCCUAAAUAGAGAGAUAUCAUUUAUACUAAAUUUUUGUACACAUAGUCUUUAUAUUUAUAACUUACUUCGUUGACAACUCUUUUAUCAGAGCUCUAGAAGGUUAUCAUUUAUUAAGAGGUAUUAAGAAGAAGAAGCCUAAUUGGAAGAAUAUUAUGGGGCAUCAACAAGAUAACGGAUGGGCAUGUGGAUAUUAUGUCAUGAAAAAUAUGUUUGACAUUAUUGAUGCUUGUAUUGUUGAAAGAUUCAAUGAGAUAUUCACAGACACCUCAUCAUAUGAAAAAGAGUCAAUUGAUCACAUCCGACAACUUUGGGCUCAAUUCUUUUUGCAAAAGGUUGAAGAGCAAGAGAACCAGGAAAAGAAAGAUUUAAUGACAAAACAGAAGCGAUUAAAAAAAACUUAUAUAGAGAUAUAUUUUUGUUCCAUGAAUGAUUUAUUGGUACAAGUUAC